UCUGGGGAGUAGCAUGCGCUUGGCUAGAUUACUGGAGGAUCGUCUGAACAAGGCCUGCGCUUAAUUGCGCGGCCAGUUCUUGAUUCUCUGCUAUCAGUUUUCUAUUUCUCAUCCUAAACACAAUGGAGUUUUUUCUCUAUGAACUACUUCCCUGGAGAGCUCGUCUCUCCAGUGGACAUAAACACAAACAAUAUUUUGUAUUAUGAAAAACUAUUAUACUAUAAAAUUUAAUAUUCAAAACUUUCAACAACGGAUCUCUUGGUUCUCGCAUCGAUGAAGAACGCAGCGAAUUGCGAUAUGUAUUGUGAAUUGCAGAUUUUCGUGAAUCAUCAAAUCUUUGAACGCACAUUGCGCCCUCUGGUAUUCCAGGGGGCAUGCCUGUUUGAGCGUCAUUUCUCUCUCAAACCUUUGGGUUUGGUAGUGAGUGAUACUCGUCUCGGGUUAACUUGAAAGUGGCUAGCCGUUGCCAUCUGCGUGAGCAGGGCUGCGUGUCAAGUCUAUGGACUCGACUCUUGCACAUCUACGUCUUAGGUUUGCGCCCAUUCGUGGUAAGCUUGGGUCAUAGAGACUCAUAGGUGUUAUAAAGACUCGCUGGUGUUUGUCUCCUUGAGGCAUACGGCUUACUAAACUCUCAAGUUUGACUCAAAUCAGGUAGGAGUACCCCGCUGACCUCAGGAUAUCAUAACGGCGGAGAAGAAA
rnacentral:rRNA from 1 species